rnacentral:rRNA from 1 species
CGGCAGGCUUAACACAUGCAAGUCGAGCGGGGGAAGGUAGCUUGCUACUGGACCUAGCGGCGGACGGGUGAGUAAUGCUUAGGAAUCUGCCUAUUAGUGGGGGACAACAUCUCGAAAGGGAUGCUAAUACCGCAUACGUCCUACGGGAGAAAGCAGGGGAUCUUCGGACCUUGCGCUAAUAGAUGAGCCUAAGUCGGAUUAGCUAGUUGGUGGGGUAAAGGCCUACCAAGGCGACGAUCUGUAGCGGGUCUGAGAGGAUGAUCCGCCACACUGGGACUGAGACACGGCCCAGACUCCUACGGGAGGCAGCAGUGGGGAAUAUUGGACAAUGGGGGGAACCCUGAUCCAGCCAUGCCGCGUGUGUGAAGAAGGCCUUAUGGUUGUAAAGCACUUUAAGCGAGGAGGAGGCUACUUUAGUUAAUACCUAGAGAUAGUGGACGUACUCGCAGAAUAAGCACCGG